UGAACACAUCACCUGCAGCUCCGGUGUGUGUGAGAACGUGGGUGACGAGAAAAAAAAACGGAAAAAAAGGGAGAAAAGUCAUGCAGCCGCGGAGCAAAAGUGUCCUCGUUCAGCGGCCAGAUAUCAUGAUUUUGAGUUGUGAGAGAGUUGUGACAGAACUGUAGUUAGCAGAGAGCGUGAAGAGAUACUCACCUGGUGAAACCGAUCACGGGAGGGACUCAAACCGAGAGUUUCUCCGUACUUUUCUGAACUAUUCUGGUGAGUUAACGUUAGCUGCCUCGUUAGCUUGAUUAGUGGUAUCAAUUUUGUUCGGUACAGGAAGAAAAAAGCCAGUCAGAAUAGUAAAUACAUGUUUAGUGGUGUCGAGACAUGUUUUUGUGAUGACAUGAUGAUAUGUUUUUAUUGUGUGUUACUGUGACAAACAGCUAGUAGUUUACCGAGCAGUUAGCUCAGCUGCGGCUUGCUAACUAGGCCAAGCACGGCCGAGUAUUUCAUAUUUUCUGUGUUUUGAGUUGUUUCAUAUUUCAUGUAAUAAGCUGCAUUGGUUAAUGUGCACUGGAAAAGUAAGCAGACAGCCAUUUAAGCUGAUAAUAAUUACGCUGCAUAUUAUGCAGGCUGGUUUUUUUUUUGAGGACGAGUUCUUCUGUUCAACUGUGAUCCGCAUCGUCCGCUGUUGCCCCGUGGAGGCUCUUGGUUCAACAACAAGCCGUAUCACCCGCCAUGCUGCAGGGAGGCUCUUGGUUCAUCGGGACCAGUGUGGACAUCGGUGUGGUAUGGAAAGGUUCUGAGGAGUGACACAUUUUGUUUGCACUUUUUUUCUGAGAUCUCAGUAAUUUUUGGGGGUUUUUAUUUUUAUUUUUUUCCUAUUUUUUGGAAAGGAACGGAACUUAAAAAAACUGUUUUCUUCUUGGAGGACCCUGAAGGACAAUAAAAAAAACUAAGGACAAUCAAACUCAUUAAAAGGGAAAGAAACAUUUUUUUUUCUUUAUCUUAUCCUUAUUAAUUUCUAUAUUGGUACUUCCUGG